rnacentral:rRNA from 1 species
GAUGAACGCUGGCGGCGUGCCUAAUACAUGCAAGUAGAACGCUGAAGGAGGAGCUUGCUCUUCUGGAAGAGUUGCGAACGGGUGAGUAACGCGUAGGUAACCUGCCUCUUAGCGGGGGAUAACUAUUGGAAACGAUAGCUAAUACCGCAUAAAAGUCGACAUUGCAUGAUGUUGACUUGAAAGGUGCAAAUGCAUCACUAAGAGAUGGACCUGCGUUGUAUUAGCUAGUUGGUGAGGUAACGGCUCACCAAGGCGACGAUACAUAGCCGACCUGAGAGGGUGAUCGGCCACACUGGGACUGAGACACGGCCCAGACUCCUACGGGAGGCAGCAGUAGGGAAUCUUCGGCAAUGGGGGCAACCCUGACCGAGCAACGCCGCGUGAGUGAAGAAGGUUUUCGGAUCGUAAAGCUCUGUUGUAAGAGAAGAACGAGUGUGAGAGUGGAAAGUUCACGC